GCUCAGUUGGUAAAGCACAAGGCUCUUAACCUUGUGGACGUGGAUUCAAGUCCCAC
rfam:Triticum aestivum genome assembly, contig: Triticum_aestivum_CS42_TGACv1_scaffold_328852_4BS